rnacentral:lncRNA from 1 species
CGUCAGCCCUCUCUCCUGGUGCUGGGCGUAGCAAUCCCCUAGGCAAAGCCCUCCCCUCACUCAAGAGGAUAUCGAAGCUGCCCUUCCCUACAGACCUGGCCAGUCCUCUCGGAGGACAGACGCGAGAACAAGCCUAGAAGACAUGAACUAUGAGCAAAGCAAAUAAACGCAGAGACCGUGGAAGGGAGUGCCUGAAGCCACUUUUCAGACUCGCGAGAGAGAAGUGAAAGGAGGGAGGUUCUGUUCUGUAGAAUGAGUGAAAUGAGAAAAGAAUGAGGUUAUGUUACAGGAUUCAUACAUAAUUCUGCAUCAGCUCCGGAAAGAGGUAGAGUCAGCGGAUCCGGGGCCUCAGAGCAACCGGAAAGCUUCGUACUGACGGAGGUGUGCUUUCUGGACCAAACCCCAAGGAAGCAUAACUGUUCCRGACUCUUCAAAAUGUUGCCUGCCAGAAGGAUAAACGAGCAUAUCUAUUCUGGAGAAAGGUAUCCCUCCAAAGUGCCAAUUAAUGUGCGAUACCCACGACGAUGUAAAACCGUACGUCCCGGAGAGAAGUGCUUUUACACCAGCUAAGCUAGCCAGGACAAAAGUUUCCUGACGCCCUCCCUCUACAGCAAACGCACUCCGGGCCUUCCCUGCUGUUCACAGUCCUAGCGUUAAGUUUAUCAGUGAAAACCUGAUAAGCUGGGACUAUAAGCGCUCCUGUGAACUUCAAGCAUAAUCUACAAUGUUGUAAAGAGAGAAGAUCGCUAUACUAAGCAUCAUUUGACGUUACAGUUAUUUGGUAAGUGACUGGCUGCAUUAGCAAACCCUUUGAAAGACGGCAGCUAAAGCAAUACCUGAUCUUCGAAACGCAGUGGCAGCAUAGGCCACCCCACGAGUGAAACACCUUCUCCAGGGCAAGUACGUUCUCCAUCUAAUACAAAUACACACCCUUGGUGUGUGUCACGUUAACGCUGGAAAAAGCACCCGCGCGAAGCCACAGCUGAUCCAUCAGCAGCCAGGCAGACGCUUUCGGACCACUUGCAACCAAAGUGGUUUUCAGCCGUCUCUGCGCUUGUCUAGUCGAAUUUGCCAGCCCUGCGUGCAGGCGCUGUUUGAUCCCCUCCCGUGACAGAUACGCUACCCAGGCGA